AUUGAACGCUGGCGGCAGGCCUAACACAUGCAAGUCGAACGAGUGGCGGACUGGUGAGUCAUGUCUGGGAAACUGCCUGAUGGAGGGGGAUAACUACUGGAAACGGUAGCUAAUACCGCAUACCUUCGUAUGUGCCCCUAUGGGAUUAGCUAGUAGGGGGGGUAACGGCUCACCUAGGCGACGAUCCCUAGCUGGUCUGAGAGGAUGACCAGCAAAAAGGGAACUGAGACAAGGUGCAGAUGCAUACGGGAGGCAGCAGUGGGGAAUAUGGGACAAUGGGCGAAAGCCUGAUGCAGCAAUGCCGCGUGUAUGAAGAAGGCCUUCGGGUUGUAAAGUACUUUGAGCGGGGAGGCGUUACCAGCAGAAGAAGCACCGGCUAACUCCGUGCCAGAAGCAGCGGUAAUUC
rnacentral:rRNA from 1 species